GAUGAACGCUGGCGGCGUGCUUAACACAUGCAAGUCGAACGGAAAGGCCCAAGCUUGCUUGGGUCCUCGAGUGGCGAACGGGUGAGUAACACGUGGGUGAUCUGCCCUGCACUUCGGGAUAAGCCUGGGAAACUGGGUCUAAUACUGGAUAGGACCACUUCUUGGAUGGUGUGGUGGAAAGUUUUUUCGGUGUGGGAUGAGCUCGCGGCCUAUCAGCUUGUUGGUGGGGUAAUGGCCUACCAAGGCGUCGACGGGUAGCCGGCCUGAGAGGGUGUACGGCCACAGGGGGACUUAGAAACGGGCCAGAGUCCUACGGGAGGCAGCAGGGGGGAAUAUUGAACAAUGGGCGCAAGCCUGAUGCAGCGACGCGGCGUGGGGGAUGACGGCCUUCGGGUUGUAAACUCCUUUCGCUAGGGACGAGGCGUUUUUGUGACGGUACCUGGAGAAGAAGCACCGGCUAACUACGUG
rnacentral:rRNA from 1 species